rnacentral:rRNA from 1 species
UACGGAGGGUGCAAGCGUUAUCCGGAUUUACUGGGUUUAAAGGGUGCGUAGGUGGGUCUGUAAGUCAGUGGUGAAAUCCCCCGAGCUUAACUUGGGACUGCCGUUGAUACUAUAGAUCUUGAAUAUCGUGGAGGUAAGCGGAAUAUGUCAUGUAGCGGUGAAAUGCUUAGAUAUGACAUAGAACACCAAUUGCGAAGGCAGCUUACUACACGAUCAUUGACACUGAGGCACGAAAGCGUGGGGAGCAAACAGG